GAUCCUGGCUCAGAGCGAACGCUGGCGGCAGGCUUAACACAUGCAAGUCGAACGGGCACCUUCGGGUGUCAGUGGCAGACGGGUGAGUAACACGUGGGAACGUACCCUUCUGUUCGGAAUAACUCAGGGAAACUUGAGCUAAUACCGGAUACGCCCUUUUGGGGAAAGGUUUACUGCCGAAGGAUCGGCCCGCGUCUGAUUAGCUUGUUGGUGGGGUAACGGCCUACCAAGGCGACGAUCAGUAGCUGGUCUGAGAGGA
rnacentral:rRNA from 1 species